ACGAACGCUGGCGGCGUGCCUAAUACAUGCAAGUCGAACGCACUCUCGUUUAGAUUGAAGGAGCUUGCUCCUGAUUGAUAAACAUUUGAGUGAGUGGCGGACGGGUGAGUAACACGUGGGUAACCUGCCCUAAAGUGGGGGAUAACAUUUGGAAACAGAUGCUAAUACCGCAUAAAACCUAACACCGCAUGGUGUAGGGUUGAAAGAUGGUUUCGGCUAUCACUUUAGGAUGGACCCGCGGUGCAUUAGUUAGUUGGUGAGGUAAAGGCUCACCAAGACCGUGAUGCAUAGCCGACCUGAGAGGGUAAUCGGCCACACUGGGACUGAGACACGGCCCAGACUCCUACGGGAGGCAGCAGUAGGGAAUCUUCCACAAUGGACGAAAGUCUGAUGGAGCAACGCCGCGUGAGUGAAGAAGGUUUUCGGAUCGUAAAACUCUGUUGUUGGAGAAGAAUGUAUCUGAUAGUAACUGAUCAGGUAGUGACGGUAUCCAACCAGAAAGCCACGGCUAACUACGUGCCAGCAGCCGCGGUAAUACGUAGGUGGCAAGCGUUGUCCGGAUUUAUUGGGCGUAAAGCGAGCGCAGGCGGUUUCUUAAGUCUGAUGUGAAAGCCUUCGGCUCAACCGAAGAAGUGCAUCGGAAACUGGGAAACUUGAGUGCAGAAGAGGACAGUGGAACUCCAUGUGUAGCGGUGAAAUGCGUAGAUAUAUGGAAGAACACCAGUGGCGAAAGCGGCUGUCUGGUCUGUAACUGACGCUGAGGCUCGAAAGCAUGGGUAGCAAACAGGAUUAGAUACCCUGGUAGUCCAUGCC
rnacentral:rRNA from 1 species